AUUGACGGCAGCCCCCCUGUGACGGAGGAUUAAAAAAAAAAAACAACUGCUAGAUGGAUGGAUUGAUGGCUUGGACUGAAUUAGAGAUGCAGCGGUAGCAUUCGUUCGCCACGGCGAAGAUGUGCGGAGGGAGCUCCCCUAUGUGGUGCUUGGAGUACAGGUCCACCCUCUCCGGGUCGUACAGGCCCGAGAUCUGCUUGUAGGGGUUGACGGCUGCCAGGAUGCUGCCAAUAUUGGUCUGAAAAAGAGUCCAGGAGGGACAUUUCAGGUUUUGUGUCUGUAUCGCUUAUGAGAUAUUUGUCUCCAUUUCUUUUUUUUCUUUUCUUCUCACUCUUAACACUUUAACAAACCGACACAUAUAUGCAAAUAACAAGCUCUCGGGAACACACACAGUGCAUAUAUGUGACAUUUUGAAGCAGCCUUGUGUUGAUAAUAAUCUGGACAGGAGGAUAAGAGAACACAGCAGGGUGGAGAUCACACAGCGGGAGCGACAUGCGACAAAAUCGCCAGAUAUUAGAAAGGUGAGGUCAAAUUGGUGUCAUGACGGUGGAGGGAGGACGGUUUCUGCUCUGAGCCGCUCGCUUUCUGCCCCUCCGCAUUAGAAAACUUCAGUGGCACUUUUGGCCACACCCAGUUCCGCUGUGCCGAGCCUGAGCCGGACCUUCUCCAGAGUGAGACCAAAGCACUCUCGCCCUACCUCCAAGUGGGCUGCAUCCACAUCUCGCGACCAAAAUGCUGUUUGUUGUUCUGUCAAAGCAGCUGCUCGAGCAGAUGGGUCUGAUAGGAUGAUUUGUGUUUCCCACUAAAAGCCUCACGCAUGCAAAGAUUACUGGAAAAGGAGAAGCGCUGGUACAGGUUGUGCAUGAUGGCGGCCUCGUGCAGCUCAGCCAGCGCCGACAUGUCCUCCACCCCAUCGAUGCUGGACUGGUGCAUGGCGUACACCCGCUCCCUGGUGACCUCGGCCUGCUGCAAGUACAACACCUGGA